AUUGAACGCUGGCGGCAGGCCUAACACAUGCAAGUCGAGCGAGCGGCGGACGGGUGAGUAAUGCCUGGGAAUUGCCCAGUCGAGGGGGAUAACAGUUGGAAACGACUGCUAAUACCGCAUACGAUUGGAUUGCCCACGUGGGAGUAGCUAGUUGGUGAGGUAAUGGCUCACCCAGGCGACGAUCCCUAGCUGGUCUGAGAGGAGGAUCCGCCACACUGGAACGGAACAACGGUCCAGAGUCCUACGGGAGGCAGCAGUGGGGAAUAUUGCACAAUGGGGGAAACCCUGAUGCAGCCAUGCCGCGUGUGUGAAGAAGGCCUUCUGGUUGGAAAGCACUUUCAGCGAGGAGGCGUUACUCGCAGAAGAAGCACCGGCUAACUCCGUGCCAGCAGCCGCGGUAAUUC
rnacentral:rRNA from 1 species